AACAGCUUAACAAGCCCCAGUAGAAGUGGACUCAAGAUUUCUUCCUCAGCAAAGAAAAUGAAACCAUUUACCAGCGUGCCGGGGACAUGCCUCUAUCAUCCUGGAUCAGUUCCUGAUGACUGACCUUCUGCAGGAGCAGUGGACUGCAUUCAUGAGGAGGCACCACUUUUGCUGCCCUAAGUGUUUUCUCUUCUGUCCUGAAGCAGAAGUCUAUCUCCAAACACUACCACGUCAGCUCCAAGCCGAUGGCAAUAAUACCCAUCUUUCUGUAACCAACCCCUUGGAAUCAUUUGAAGCACUGAAACGACAAGACUGUCCACGGGGGAAAGGACACAAAGACAUCAAAUAUUGACCAAUUAUAGGGCUUAAAACAAAGGAAUGAGCAUGCCUUGUAUUGCAUAUCAUUGGAUUACGUUCUCGAUACUUUGCAAAGGUCUCCUCCAUCCCUGGUGCCCGGCUGUACUCAACAAUACCCCUAAAGACCACUUGGGACGAGUGGCCGUUCUGACCUCACCACCCUGCCAGCUCCCAGGGCUUUUCUCUAGUCCUCGGUAACCAAUCUGUUCAGCAGUGCUUUGCUGUGAUUUCCCUUUUGUUGUCACUGUUUAUUUUUCUGUGGAAUUACAUGCUCUAAUUGCGUAAAUAAACAGUCAGAAACCAAC